AAGGCGCGUUCCUCCGUACAGUACUCCGGCAGGGCUUAUAUAGGCAAUCCAAACCCAGCCCAAGCAAACCUCCCCAAACCCAACACUUGCAGCAUGUCCAAAAUGGGAGACAGGCGCCUGAGUAACCCGGGCCAAGACGCCGAAAGGAGCCUGUUUGCGUACUGCGGCUGCCCUGUGAUUCUGGAUCUUGUCUCCUGGCCGGCGCCUCGAUUCCUACCCAGCUGGAUUGGGGGGCAACACUGCCUGGCGCAGCCAAGAGAGCGAAUGAGACCACAAAGAAGCAUAAAAUGAAUAGACAAUCCAACCAACCAAAGACCCGGGGCAGCAGCACGCCAGCAAGACGGCAUCUUCUCCUCCCCAGCCUAGAAGCCCUGUGAAAUCGAGGAUCUUCCCCCUAAAACACACACGCACAAGAUAUGUGCAAUCAAGCUGCCACCGCUUGGUAAAAAACCUCAUGGUGCCUACCCCAAAGGAUCCGGAGCAGAUCCUUGAAUCAGCUGUCACUUCUUCUAUAGAAUGGGAUUUUUUUUUUCCUUCCUCCUUAACCUGCACUGGAAAUUGCCUUUGGCUUUACACGUCUCUAUAGAGGGAGGCUAAAGAGUCUUGCGUGAGAAUGAAGCAAUUUACAAUGCAAAU
rnacentral:lncRNA from 1 species